rnacentral:lncRNA from 1 species
UAUGUGAUGAGAAAUACCUACUCGGAAUUGGGGACCUGGAUUGGUUGGAACAGAACUUUUUACUGCUGGAAUUCUGUGUUGAAGGAUGCUGCUGCUAUUAAUUGGGGUAUUGUGUGUAAAGUGAUUGGCAAUCAGCAUGAUUGUGUGCUAUAAUCACAGGGCUGCAAGAGACCUGUAACUGCUGGGCUGCUGUUUUUCCUGAUAUGAAGCCUAUUCUUUAGAGGAUGUCCUCCAAGGAUUGUCUGAACAUGUCGAUAUCUGCCAUCCUGCACGGACGACUCUUCCAACUUGAAUUUGAUUUUUUUCAGACUCCAGGAGCCCCAAUGAAUUAAAAAAAAAAAGUUGUUUGAGCAUUCAAAAAUGGCAUAUUUUGAAGAAUCUUUGUGGCUAUUUUAACCUUUUGUUAGAAGGAAACCUACAUGUUGAAACUUGAAGGAGGGCCAAGGAUGUAUGUGACUUGUUUAGGAUUGUGGAGGUAAAGAGGACCCAGACAGGCACUCUAUACCAGCUCCCUGAUCACUGGUUGGCACUUUUUCUCUUCACUAUAUCGCCAGUGCUGUUUAAGACAGAAUGUCUGUCCUGGAUUGGAAAAAUAUCUCUGCUUCUUCCCACCCAAGUUGGGUUCUCUGCCCACUGCAAGACAUGCCAAUAGUCAGGAGGCGAGGUGGUAGGGGAGAAAGGCUUUCUUUUUUAUAGCUUGCUAGUAAGAGGGAAGAUGGCCAACUCAUGUCCGAAAGAGCUAUCUUACAGAACAAAGACUGUCGGCCAGUUAUAUAUGGGGCUGGUUUCCGGGUGGGGGCAGACAUGUGGUUUUAGUUUCUGAUAGUCCUUUUGUUUUACCGGAUAACCACAUCAGAGACAGGAACAAUGCCCUACACCCUGAUCUUUCAGUUGUCAUUGAUGGCUAUCAGCAUAGGCUCUCUUUCCCAGAAGGUCAUCACAUUCCUAGAGAACUCAAAAGAACAAAGUUAUCAUCUUAUCACAGUUGGGAGGGGCCACAAAAUCUACAGAGCAUGUCUGGGCUAGUUAAUCAGAGGUCAUUUAAAAAGUUACUAUAUGGUUUCUUUUCUACAGUAUGGUUUCCCUCAUGUCAACCUUGUGUUGAGCUGGUAUCACGCUGAGGUGUUAAUCAUUUGGAGGAGCUUUCUAGGCCCCAAACUUAA